CACCGGUUUCCUUACGAUCAUCGAAGUUAAGCAACGUCGAACCUGGUUAGCACCUAUAUGGGUGACCGCUUGGGAAUACAGAGGUGUUGCAAU